GGAGAGGGAAGUGCCAGUGGAUGGGAGCAGGAGGAGAGGGGUGAGAGGAGCCCUGCUGGGCACAGCAGGCAGAAUUCCCAAGUUAUUCCACCUGAAAACGUGUCUCCUGCAAUGGCCAUCAAAUGGGUUUCCAACACGUGCAGACGAGCCUCUGUUUAAUGAAGGCUGCUCCUAAAUGGUGGAAAAGAAUCCAGAGGAUUUAGGGAGCUAGAAAAGCUCUUGGAAUGUGAUUUGUGGUGCAUUUCAGGUGGGAGGGAGCAGCUCCUGCUCUCCAUCCUCCACCAGCCUGCCCAGCUCUGCAGAUGAGAUCAUUUAGUCAGUUAAAAGUCAUCCUGAAGCAAAAACAACUUCCAGAUGUUUCUCUAAUUUUGCAGGACACUGAACUGUGAACAGUCGUUAAACUUUAUCCCUUUUGCUUCCUGAGUUUUCCAAGACAGAAACAGAUAAAAGAAUGGGGGGAAAAAAAAACCCCAAACCACUGCCAAGGGAUAAUUGUGCAAAGGAAAACUCUGGAGUAAAUGUGUUUAUUGUGGGUAUGGCAAAGAGAAAAGGAGCAAAGUGCAAGGGCAAAGCUUGGAAGCUCAGUCACUGUCCUGGAGAACGGGAUCAAUCCCACGUCUUGGUGGUGUUGGGAAAGUCAAGUGUUGGAAACCUCCCUGCAGAGAGGGAUUUGUUUGACAGUUAUCACUUCCCUAAAACUGGCUCUGUUGGAGACUGAGAGCUUGAGAUCUGUCAGGAAAAAGGGGUUUGCUGUUAAAAUUAAUCUGUACUUGCUGAAGAUGAGCUCCUGACUCGUCAUCCUCCCUAACCCUGCAUAGCUACAGUGAGAAUCAAGGAUAUUUUCUCCUAAAAUCCAGGACUGUGAAUUAAAUCCUCCAUAAAAUUUUGAUAAAAAGAUCUUGCAGCUUCAACUUUAGAAAGCAUGUACUUAUUAAAACUCCUCCGACUUGAUGUUUAAUACAAUAUUGACAUCCAGUAAUUAGUUCAUCCAUGAUAUCCUUCAGUUCUUUUCUGCCAAUUAGUGCUGCAGUUUUCACUUGUGCCUGUCAUAGAAAUAAACAGAGAAGGUACCAUUAGAUUUUAUUCUAUUACCUUUUUUUUUCUUUUUAUGGUGGUUUCCCCAUUUCUUGUUCAUCCAUUUAAUGCUGGAAGAUGUGGAAAUUUGCCAAU